rnacentral:piRNA from 1 species
UCAGUCUACUGGCAAUGGGUGUCAAUGC